rnacentral:rRNA from 1 species
UACGUAGGGUCCGAGCGUUGUCCGGAAUUAUUGGGCGUAAAGAGCUCGUAGGCGGUCUGUCGCGUCGGCUGUGAAAACACGGGGCUCAACUCCGUGCCUGCAGUCGAUACGGGCAGGCUAGAAUUCGGUAGGGGAGACUGGAAUUCCUGGUGUAGCGGUGAAAUGCGCAGAUAUCAGGAGGAACACCGGUGGCGAAGGCGGGUCUCUGGGCCGAUAUUGACGCUGAGGAGCGAAAGCGUGGGGAGCGAACAGG